AACGAACGCUGGCGGCAUGCCUAACACAUGCAAGUCGAACGAGACCUUCGGGUCUAGUGGCGCACGGGUGCGUAACGCGUGGGAACCUGCCCUUAGGUUCGGAAUAACUCCCCGAAAGGGGUGCUAAUACCGGAUAAUGUCUUCGGACCAAAGAUUUAUCGCCUUUGGAUGGGCCCGCGUUGGAUUAGCUUGUUGGUAGGGUAAAAGCCUACCAAGGCGACGAUCCAUAGCUGGUCUGAGAGGAUGAUCAGCCACACUGGGACUGAGACACGGCCCAGACUCCUACGGGAGGCAGCAGUGGGGAAUAUUGGAAAAUGGGCGAAAGCAUGAUCCAGCAAUGCCGCGUGAGUGAUGAAGGCCUUAGGGUUGUAAAGCUCUUUUACCCGGGAUGAUAAUGACAGUACCGGGAGAAUAAGCCCCGGCUAACUCCGUG
rnacentral:rRNA from 1 species